rnacentral:rRNA from 1 species
UACGAAGGGGGCUAGCGUUGCUCGGAAUCACUGGGCGUAAAGCGCACGUAGGCGGCUUGUUAAGUCAGGGGUGAAAUCCUGGAGCUCAACUCCAGAACUGCCUUUGAUACUGGCGAGCUUGAGUCCGGGAGAGGUGAGUGGAACUGCGAGUGUAGAGGUGAAAUUCGUAGAUAUUCGCAAGAACACCAGUGGCGAAGGCGGCUCACUGGCCCGGUACUGACGCUGAGACGCGAAAGCGUGGGGAGCAAACAGG